UACGUAGGGUGCAAGCGUUAAUCGGAAUUACUGGGCGUAAAGCGUGCGCAGGCGGUUUUGUAAGACUGUCGUGAAAUCCCCGGGCUUAACCUGGGAAUGGCAGUUGAGACUGGACGGCUAGAGUGUGUCAGAGGGGGGUAGAAUUCCACGUGUAGCAGUGAAAUGCGUAGAGAUGUGGAGGAAUACCGAUGGCGAAGGCAGCCCCCUGGGAUAACACUGACGCUCAGGCACGAAAGCGUGGGGAGCAAACAGG
rnacentral:rRNA from 1 species